UACAGAGGUCCCAAGCGUUGUUCGGAUUCACUGGGCGUAAAGGGUGUGUAGGCGGUUGAGUAAGUUUGUUGUGAAAUCUCCAAGCUUAACUUGGAAAAUGCAAUAAAAACUGCUUGGCUAGAGGAUUGUAGGGGGAACUGGAAUUCUCGGUGUAGCAGUGAAAUGCGUAGAUAUCGAGAGGAACACCAGUGGCGAAGGCGAGUUCCUGGACAAAUCCUGACGCUGAGAGACGAAAGCUAGGGGAGCGAAUGGG
rnacentral:rRNA from 1 species